GGCGAACGCUGGCGGCAGGCUUAACACAUGCAAGUCGAGCGGGCGUAGCAAUACGUCAGCGGCAGACGGGUGAGUAACGCGUGGGAACGUACCUUUUGGUUCGGAACAACACAGGGAAACUUGUGCUAAUACCGAAUAAGCCCUUACGGGGAAAGAUUUAUCGCCGAAAGAUCGGCCCGCGUCUGAUUAGCUAGUUGGUGAGGUAACGGCUCACCAAGGCGACGAUCAGUAGCUGGUCUGAGAGGAUGAUCAGCCACAUUGGGACUGAGACACGGCCCAAACUCCUACGGGAGGCAGCAGUGGGGAAUAUUGGACAAUGGGCGCAAGCCUGAUCCAGCCAUGCCGCGUGAGUGAUGAAGGCCCUAGGGUUGUAAAGCUCUUUUGUGCGGGAAGAUAAUGACGGUACCGCAAGAAUAAGCCCCGGCUAACUUCGUGCCAGCCGCCGCAGUAAGAC
rnacentral:rRNA from 1 species